rnacentral:rRNA from 2 species
UACGUAGGUGGCGAGCGUUGUCCGGAAUUAUUGGGCGUAAAGGGAGCGCAGGUGGGAAGGUAAGUCUGUUUUAAAAGCGUCGGGCUCAACCCGAUGAGGGAACAGAAACUAUUUUUCUUGAGUGCAGGAGAGGAAAGCGGAAUUCCUAGUGUAGCGGUGAAAUGCGUAGAUAUUAGGAGGAACACCAGUGGCGAAGGCGGCUUUCUGGACUGUAACUGACACUGAGGCUCGAAAGCCAGGGGAGCGAACGGG